rnacentral:lncRNA from 1 species
UGACAGGGCAGAGGUCAGGGGCCACAGGUCAUCAAGGAGCCACGACAUCAGGGAUUUCCAGGCAGCCUCCAGGGCUCCUUUCCCCAGGCACCUCUGGCUGCUGGCCCCAUCUGCCACCCCUGCCCUGCCUUCAUGAGGCCAGCGUUCUGGAUACUGGGGAGUUCUGCUGGGGAAACAGCACCCUCCACACAUCUCAGCGGCGAUCAGUGGGUGCGGGGUGCGUUGCAGCUCCCAGAAUAUGUGUGUCCUAGAACUAACCCCUGUGAAACUGACCUUGUACUAGGGUCUUUGCCAAUGUGACCAGGUUAAGGGCAUACUGGGUGAAGGUGGGCCCUAGCCCAGAUGAGGUAGGAGGCCAGCAGGAGUCAUACUCCGGACCGGACUGAAGACAGGCCAAAAGCAGCAAGCAGCAUGGAGGGCAUCCUCUGGCCACUCUUACUGCCCAUCAGCCAAAACACCCCCCACCAACACCAGGACGAUUUACAAUGGCACGGCAAUGCACGGAAGUCACGGCCCAUUUCCGUGGCAACAACCGGAAGUUACCGCCCAUUUCCUAGCAAUUUCUGAAUAACCUGCCCCUUCAUUUGCGUGUCACUAAAAGUGGGUAUAAAUAUGGCUGCCAAUCACCCCCACACGUGGCUCACUGCUUAUGGGUAAGCCUGCAGCACUGCCAUUGCCUCCCCGAAGCUGCUUUCUUCCACUACCUGCUGGCUCUUGAAUUCUUUCCUGAGCGAAGCAAAGAAUCUCCCCUGCAUCAUAGUGACUGGUGUUCCACAGAGGCUGGCAUGGAUGCCAUUGAGGAGAAGGGGGUCUGAGCGAGCUGGGUUCUCCUUUGUGCAUGGCCCGCACCUACUCACGAGCCUCUCCACCUGGAAUUCUGCCCCGUGGAGGGGGGAUGUCCACGCCCACCCCAGCCUGCAUCUCAGGGAUUUUAUGAGCAUCAUCGGGCAUAACGUCCCACAGUGAAACCUGCCCAAUUGUCCCAUAGAACGGAUGUCGAUGGUUUCUUUUGAAUAAACACAGAAGUUGGCCCUCCCAGUCUUAAAACUUGAGAAAGCUACAUUUGUCUUAUCUGAGUUCCUUUCUCAGGAAAUUGGCCCUCAGUCCUCCCAGAUAGUCUGAAGGAAUGGAAACUCACCAGAUCAUGGCAUCUAGACAAAGGGAUGCCAGACCCUUCCCCCGUCAUGGCUGCCUGUCCGGCCACCUGCUUCCUCCUGACCAACUCCUCUUCCUCACUCUCCCUAGUUCCUGUUUUCCUGCAUAUAGUUACAUUUCUGCUCUGUAAACCUCUGAUUUUAGUUGAUCAGGGUGAUGGAUUUGCUAUGCAUCUCCCACCUCCUUGGCUGCAGCUCCCCAUUAAAGCCUUCUUAUUGGCUUUCUGUGUGGCAAGCAGCAGGACUGAUACCAGACUCCUGGUGUUUUGGUAACAAGAGGACACUUGGGAAACUACAGCCACGAAUCAGCUCAGCCCCAAUGCUGAUGAGAAGCUGGUGGCCUUGCCCUUCUCAAGGAUCUUCUCAGGAAAAUCAAUUUGAUGCCUACUUGAGAUGCACUUUUUAAAUUGAUUUUUUUUACAAUAAAAGUAUUGUGUGCUCAUUGUAAACACUUUUAAAACAUCAAAAUACAGUGUUUAAAAAAUUAAAUGCCUUUAUAGCCUCUAUUUAGAUGAGCUCACUUUUAUUUUUUUUGAGAUGGAGUCUGGCUCUGUUGCCCAGGCUGGAGUGCAGUGGUCCGAUCUUGGUUCACUGCAAACUCCGCCUCCCAGGUUCCAGCUAUUCUCCUGCCUCAGCCUCCCAGGUAGCUGGGACUACAGAUGUGCACCACCAUGCCCGGCUAAUUUUGUGUUUUUAGUAGAAACGGGGUUUCACCAUGUUGGCCAGGCUUGUCUCGAACUCCUGAGCUCGUGAUCCACCUGCCUCGGCCUCCCAAUGUGCCGGGGUUACAGGCGUGAGCCACCACUCCCAGCCAAAGCCCACUUUUACAACGGUGGGGGUGUGUAUCACUUUCUCAUUUUUAUUUUGCCACGUUUUUGUCCGUAUAACUGAAAUCAUUCAAUAUACACUGAUAUUUGAAUGGAGUAAACACCAGAACAAUCUUGGGCCCCAGUGGAAGGUAACAGAAAGGACAGACUGGUGCUGUGCACUGUGUGAUCUACCAUCCCACAGAACUUUUGAAAGAAACGACUGAAGUCAUCUGACAGCACUUAAAGAGGCAGCGUCGCUACCUGUAUGCAUCGGAGUGAUUUGGCCACAGCUUAAAUUGAACGUUUUACCAAGGCAUUUCCAGGGUGA